rnacentral:tRNA from 1 species
UACAUACAGGUGUAAAGUGCACGAAAAGUUUUGAUUUUUUAGGGGCUAGUGUGAUUCUAGCGAGUGUAA